rnacentral:rRNA from 1 species
ACAGCAGCAGCCGCGGUAAUACGUAGGGUGCAAGCGUUAAUCGGAGUUACUGAGCGUAAAGCGUGCGCAGGUGGUUCGCUAAGACAGAUGUGAAAUCCCCGGGCUUAACCUGGGAACUGCAUUUGUGACUGGCGGGCUAGAGUAUGGCAGAGGGGGGUAGAAUUCCACGUGUAGCAGUGAAAUGCGUAGAGAUGUGGAGGAAUACCGAUGGCGAAGGCAGCCCCCUGGGCCAAUACUGACGCUCAUGCACGAAAGCGUGGGGAGCAAACAGGAUUAGAUACCCCUGUAGUCCCUGUCUCUUAUAC